GGCGGAGUGUGCACAGUGGGUAAGGAACUGGGCUUGUAACCGAAAGGUCGCAGGUUCGAUUCCACACUGCCG
rnacentral:tRNA from 1 species